AGUCGUAACAAGGUUUCCGUAGGUGAACCUGCGGAAGGAUCAUUACCGAGUGAGGACCUAACCGGUCCAACCUCCCACCCGUGUCUAUCGUACCUUGUUGCUUCGGCGGGCCCGCCAUUCGUGGCCGCCGGGGGGCAUUUCGCCCCCGGGCCCGCGCCCGCCGGAGACACCAACACGAACACUGUCUGAAGGUUGCAGUCUGAGUCGAUUUAUUUAAUCGUUAAAACUUUCAACAACGGAUCUCUUGGUUCCGGCAUCGAUGAAGAACGCAGCGAAAUGCGAUAAUUAAUGUGAAUUGCAGAAUUCAGUGAAUCAUCGAGUCUUUGAACGCACAUUGCGCCCCCUGGUAUUCCGGGGGGCAUGCCUGUCCGAGCGUCAUUGCUGCCCUCAAGCACGGCUUGUGUGUUGGGUCGCCGUCCCCUUCCCGGGGGACGGGCCCGAAAGGCAGCGGCGGCACCGCGUCCGGUCCUCGAGCGUAUGGGGCUUUGUCACCCGCUCUGUAGGCCCGGCCGGCGCCUGCCGACCACCAACCUUUUUUUAACCAGGUUGACCUCGGAUCAGGUAGGGAUACCCGCUGAACUUAAGCAUAUCAAUAAGCGGAGGA
rnacentral:misc_RNA from 1 species